UACGUAGGGCGCAAGCGUUAUCCGGAAUUAUUGGGCGUAAAGAGCUCGUAGGCGGUUUGUCGCGUCUGCUGUGAAAGACCGGGGCUCAACUCCGGUUCUGCAGUGGGUACGGGCAGACUAGAGUGCAGUAGGGGAGACUGGAAUUCCUGGUGUAGCGGUGAAAUGCGCAGAUAUCAGGAGGAACACCGAUGGCGAAGGCGGCUCUCUGGGACGGUACUGACGCUGAGACGCGAAAGCGUGGGGAGCGAACAGG
rnacentral:rRNA from 1 species